GCGCAGCAGUCGAGAAUUUUUCUCAAUGGGGGCAACCCUGAAGGAGCGACGCCGCGUGGAGGAUGAAGGCUUUCGGGUUGUAAACUCCUGUCAUUUGGGAACAAGUUGGACGCAGUAACUACGCGUCCAUUGAUAGUACCAGAAGAGGAAGGGACGGCUAACUCUGUGCCAGCAGCCGCGGUAAUACAGAGGUCCCAAGCGUUGUUCGGAUUCAUUGGGCGUAAAGGGUGCGUAGGUGGCGCCGUAAGUGGGGUGUGAAAUUUCGGAGCUUAACUCCGAAACUGCAUUCCAUACUGCGGUGCUUGAGGACUGGAGAGGAGACUGGAAUUCAUGGUGUAGCAGUGAAAUGCGUAGAGAUCAUGAGGAAGACCAGUGGCGAAGGCGGGUCUCUGGACAGUUCCUGACACUGAGGCACGAAGGCCAGGGGAGCAAACGGGAUU
rnacentral:rRNA from 1 species